GAUGAACGCUAGCGGCAGGCUUAAUACAUGCAAGUCGAGGGGCAGCACGGUUAGCAAUAACUGGUGGCGACCGGCGCACGGGUGCGUAACACGUAUACAAUCUACCUUAAACAGGGGAUAGCCUUUCGAAAGAGAGAUUAAUACCCCGUAAUAAAUUGAACGGCAUCGUUUGAUUUUGAAAGCUCCGGCGGUUUGAGAUGAGUAUGCGUCUGAUUAGCUAGUUGGUGAGGUAACGGCUCACCAAGGCGACGAUCAGUAGGGAUCUGAGAGGACUAACCCCACACUGGUACUGAGACACGGA
rnacentral:rRNA from 1 species